rnacentral:rRNA from 1 species
GACGAACGUUGGCGGCGUGCUUAAUACAUGCAAGUCAACUGAAGCAGUGGUAGCAAUAUCGCUGUGGAGGUGGCGCACGGGUGAGUAACACGUAGGUAAUCUGCCUUCAGGUCUGGCAUAACUCCGGGAAACCGGGGCUAAUAGCAGAUGAUGCAGCGGCUCGACAUCGAGACAGUUGUUAAAGCUAUUGCGCCUGAAUAUGAGCCUGCGUCUGAUUAGCUAGUUGGCGGGGUAACGGCCCACCAAGGCAACGAUCAGUAGCUGGUCUGAGAGGAUGAUCAGCCACACUGGAACUGAGACACGGUCCAGACUCCUACGGGAGGCAGCAGUAAGGAAUAUUGCUCAAUGGGAGAAAUCCUGAAGCAGCAACGCCGCGUGAGGGACGAAGGGCUUUUGCUUGUAAACCUCUGUAGUGAGAGAAAAAAAUCCCAAUCUUUGGGACAUGAUGGUAUCUCAAAAGUAAGCCCCGGCUAACUACGUG